rnacentral:hammerhead_ribozyme from 1 species
GCACUGCUGAGGAGUCCCAUAAUAGGACGAAACGGCCGUCCA